GUUGCUGUGAUGAGCCUUAACAUGUAAGAAGAUCCAUUCGUGAAAGUUGGUUCUUCAAUGAGAUAUACUUGUUACGCUUGGCUUCUGAGCUAC